UGAAAACUCCAAGCAGUUUUGUGGCGGUGUGUCCCUCCCCUUAAAGAGUUAAUUAAGCAGCCCCGCGGCCUGCCCGAGAGAAACCCUAAAGAGGCGCCACAUUCUUGCAGGAACUCAGUCUGUCCCAGCUCAAACUGCCCUCCAGAUGAACAAGGUAAAGGUGGGGACAUGGGGACAUGAGGGCGGAGGGAAGUGAGAUCUGGCGACCGGGAAGGCAGUGGACUGGAAAGCCGGUCAGUGGUUAAAGAGGUCAGAGCAGGCAGGGACCAAUGAGCUCGCUUACCUAAGAUCGCCACCGACAGACGGGCCCAGGGGGUGGUCGCGGGCUCUGCUCUCCGGGAUCCACCUCGGGCCGCUCAGACCUCCCUCGCCCUCUCCAGGUCCAGGUAAGUGGUGGAGCAGGCUCUCGAGCAGGAAGUGGAUGCUGUAUGCAAAUCUCUACGGAGAGGAAGCCUCUGCUCAGCAGUCUCCCCGUGGGGCAGUGAAUCAACCGCUGAGAACUGACUUUACUUCUUAAAACAGAAACCUCCCGCGUUUACCAGAGAGAACCAGCAGCCAAUUAGGCUGCAUCCUGCUUUUACCACACAGAUAAGAAAACUGUGAGGAAUGCCCCGGGCUUCUGGGUUACUGCGGCGGGCGCCUGAGAAGGCGUCUCUUGGAGACUGAACUUGAGUAUUCAGACUGCUGAUUCUUGAGCGCCUUCAAACGAAGAAACCUGGGCCCGGUAAUGGGAGGGAAUGGGAAGCAAGAGCUUAUAACUGAGUCUUUUAACUCACUAAAACAGACUUGCUGCCCGUAACUAAGGGGCAAAGGGUUCACUGCCUAUAUCCCUGUGCUGGACUGUAUUCUCUCACACACAUACACAUACACAC
rnacentral:lncRNA from 1 species